rnacentral:lncRNA from 1 species
UUAAAAUGAUUAAGAUUGUGAAUUUUAUGUUAUGUGUAUUUUACCACACAUUAAAAAAAAAUAGUUUAAGAUCGCAUAGCUUUAAAUGGAGGAGGUGGAAUUCAAACUGUUGUCUGGCUGGCAGUGAAAUCUCUGCUCUUUUCUAAAAACACCAGCACCACUCUUAUGAAGUGGAAGCUGCAGUAAAGAGGGGAAUCAGUGGUGGAGAAAGGUCUCAGGAGAGUCAGUAAACGAUGGGGUCAGAGCUUAAGGGGGGGCAGUAUACAUAGGAUGGCUCAACAACAGGGUCCUACUGUAGCCCAGGGAACUCUACUCAAUAUCCUAUGAUAAUCUAUAAUGGAAAAAAAUAUGAAAAAGCAUAUGUGUGUGUGGGGGGGUAUACAACUGAAUCAUUUUGCUGUGUAGCAGAUGUUAACUUAACACUGUCAAUCAACUAUACUUCAAUAAAAUUUUCUUAAAAAAGAUGGAGUUCCCGUCAUGGCACAGUGGAAAUGAAUCCGACCAGGAACCAUGAGGUUGUGGGUUCGAUCCCUGGCCUUGCUCAGUGGGUUAAGGUUAAGGAUCCGGCGUUGCCGUGAGCUGUGGUGUAGGUUUCAGACAAGGCUCGGAUCCCACGUUGCUGUGGCUGUGGUGUAGACCAGUGGCUACAGCUCUGAUUUGACCCCUAGCCUGGGAACCUCCAUAUGCCGUGGAUGCAGCCCUAAAAAGCUAAAUAGAUUAUAGAUAGAUAGAUAGAUAGAUAGAUAGAUAGAUAGAUAGAUAGAUAGAUAGCCAGCUAGCUGGAGGUGGGGGCCUGCUCAGAACAAAAGUCCCGAGACUGGGGAAGGAGGGAAAUGGGGGAUGGUGUGCAGGUCCAUCUGUGGCUGGGGAGCUAAGAUUCUUCUGAGAAAUCCCACUUUCUUUGUGAAGUUGGAGGCAAAUGGGAUGGGAUCAGGCAGAGCGCUUGAGGCAGUGAGGAGAGUUUGAAAUAGCCAUCGUGGACAAAACUGACCAGGCUUACAUCUUUAAAUACAGGCCAAGCAGAGUUGAGAUUCUGGCUGUAAUGUCUAACCACACCGUGUGGAAUUGCCCCUAAGGAACUAUGCAGUUAACUGAAGUUCAUUCAUUAGAUUGACUGGUACAGUCACAAGGGAAAUCAUUAGUCAUGCCCCUUAGGUCACUAAGAGCCCCCAGAAAAUGGGCGAUUUACCUGUAGACUCAAGGUAUGGCUGUGACGACUAGAAAAAGAGCUGCUGCAAGGGAACCAGCUUGAGGACCCAAGAAUCUGAAUGGCUGACGUGAAAUCAGUCUUAAGGGCAGCCCUCCUGCUGUGCAGAAAGAGGGUUAACAUUCAGAUCAUCUUGAGCUGCUCACCAGCAAGUGAUGAGGAUUUUCAGUCACGUAAGUAGAUGGCGCUUACUUUAAGUGGGGGCGUCUUUCAUUUGUAAAAAACAGCAGCAAGAUCCAGGCCCCAGAUACCUUGCACUUUUUCUUCUAUGGGGUUUUAAAACAGUGGAAUACUCCCAAUAUUCCCCAAACAGAUUAUUUUAAUGUAUAACAUGAAAUUACCAAAUUCUAAUUAAGAUUGGAUUUUCAGAUGAUUCCAUUGUUAAUGGGUCCCCUUGGGUUUCUUAAUUUACAAUCUACUGAUUGCAAACAAAAUGGGAUUUUUCUAAUAAGUUUUGAGAUAGCUAUGAUAACAGGCACAGAUGACUUUAACAAACUACAAUGAUUAGUCGAUUCUAUUAUUUGGCCAAUCUCUAUAUAAAACUAUUUUCGUGUGAGCCAGAUAAUUACAAGUACUGUAAAAUAAAUGAGUUGCUGCAUUGUCCCUCAGUUUUUUUCUUUGUUGGCUGCACUUGCAGCAUAUGGUAGUCCUGGGCCAGAGAUGGAAUCUGAGCCCCAUCUGCACAGCAUCUGCAACCUAUGUCACAACUGCGGCAAUGCUGGAUCCUUAACCCACUGUAUGGGACCAGGGAUAGAACUAGCAGUGCCACAGAGACAAGCCAGAUCAUUAGCCCAUUACAUCACAGCGGAAAGUCCACGUCCUCCCAUUUUUAAAAAAAAUAUUUUACUUUGAAAUCAUUAUAGAUUCACAGGAAAGUGCAAAGAUAGUACAGAGAAGUCCCAGGUACCCUUUACUAAGUCUCUUCAUGGUUACAGCUUAUGUAAUUAUGAUGCAAUAUCAAAACCAAAAAAUGGAUACUGAUACACUCUGCAUGUAUAAUUCUGUAUCAUUUUAUCAUGUGUAGAUUUGUGUGACCACCACUGCCUUCAAGAUGCAUGGCUAUUAUCUUUCACAUGCCGCCCCUUUGUAGUCACACCCGACCUCUUUCCCCCAACCAACCCUAAGCCUGGCAACCACUAAUCUGUUUUCCAUCUCUAUAAUUUUGUCAUUUUGAGAAUGUUACAGACAUGGAAUUAUAUAGUAUGUGACCUUUUGAGAGUGGCUUUUUUCAUCCAAUGUAAUGCCCUGAGGUUCAUCCAAAUUGUUGCAUAUGUAAAUAGUUCAUUCUCUUUUAUUGCUGAGUAGUUUUCCAUAGUGUGGAUGUACCAUUAUUUAACCAUUCAUCCAUGGAGGGAUGUUUUGGUUGUUUCCAGUUUCUGGCUGUUAUGCAUAAAGCUGCUAUGAGUAAUCUGUACCCAUUUUUAUGUGGACAUAGGUUUUCAUUUCUCUGGAGUAUGUUGUCAGGAGGGUAAUUGCUAGAUAAGUAUGUAUUUAGGUGUUUUUUUUUUUUAGAAGUGGCUAAACUAUCUUCCAGGAUGCUUUUUACCAUUCUGUGUUCCUAUAAACAAUGGAUGAGUGAUCCAGUUUCUCCACAUCCUUGUCAACAUUUGGUGUUGUCACUACUUUUUAUUUUAGCUGUUUUUAUAAGUGUGUAGUGAUAUCUAGCUGUUUUAUUAAUUUGCAUUUCCCUAAUGACUAGUGACAUUAGGUUAUAGAGAUAUCAAGCCUGUAAUGGGUUUUAGAGUUUCUUUGGCAAAUCACUUUAUGCUCUCCAAGCCUCAAUUUCCUCAUCUGUAAAGUGAGAGAAUAUAUAGCCCCUAAAUGACCUCCCAGUUCAAAAAUCCUAGGUACCACUGGAUCUACCUUAAGAGACUGUGUUUGCGAAGUCAGGAGCUUUUAAUUUUCCUUUUGUGCAUCAGCUAUUUCCAUCUGCCAAGAGUUGUCUAGAAUGAAUCUUAUCCAUGGGUUUCACUGACAUUUCCAUGAAAUGUAUGACAACUCCCUAUGUGCUUCAUUUGGCCCUAUUCAGCAUUUAAGUCACAUUAUCAAAGGCUGAGCCAAAAGAUUCAGACGUUCACAAGUUUGUAAGGGACUUUGUUAAUUAUCUGAUUCUGUGUAAAGUUGUUUUUAUUCCUUUGUUCUCAAGGUUCACUAUAGAAUAUACUUUUGUAUAGAUGAUACUUUAUAAUUUUCAUCAAGCACUGAUUGAGUGCCUACUGUGUGCAGAUAGGGUGGACUUGGGUUUGAAUGAUGCCACUGCCACUUGUGAACUGGGACUCGUCAAGAAACGUAACUUCUCUGAACUUCAGAGACAUGGACCUGCUCUUGAUAUUAUGAGGAAAAGAGGUCAUCGUAUACAGUGCCCAGUUCAUAUUAACACGCCACGAAUGGUAGCCAUGAUGACAUGGAAGAUAGAUGGUAGUCCCUGGGGAAACCUAGAGGCAGGGACGCAGCACGUGGCAUGACCCGCACAGGGUGCUUUCACUCACACACACACACACACACACACACACACACACACACACAUCUCAGUUAACACAUUAACACUGGGAGAUGGGUACUUACACACCUGUGUUUAUAAAACUGAGGCUGAGAAGCUAAAAAACUUAAUAUCUCCCUGAUACUGCUUUUCCAACCAGGGCCCGGUGAAAUGGCUCCCGGGGAAGAAGGGCUGCCGCCGUCACCAAGGUGGUGACAGGGAAUGGACUAUCAACAUUUGCAAGCGCAUCCAUGGAGCGGGUUUGAAGAAGUGCGCCCCUUGGGCAGUCAAGGAAAUCCGGAUAUUUGCCAUGAAGGUGAUGGAAACUCCAGAGUGCACGUUGACAUGGGGCCCAAUGAAACCUUCUGGGCCAAAGGAGCAAGAGAUGCCCCAGACCGGAUUCUUGUGCUGUGGUUGUCCAGAAAACAUAAUGAAGAUGAUGAUUUACCAAACAAGUUCUACACAUUGGUUAGCUAUGUACCUGUCAUCACUUUCAAAAAUCUGCAGUUAAUGUGGAUGAGGACAGCUGACUGUUAAAUAAAGUUACAGAACUGCCUUCACCCCCCCCCCAAAAAAAAAAUCGCUCUGGUGCCAAGCAAAGGAGAUAGAAUUCAAACUAUCCUUACAGAGUCUAGCCAGAGGGAUAAGCUGUGGGGAAACAGCUGUGCAGCAUAGAGGAGCCAGUGUCCACUGCGGGCCAGAGCCACAGGGCACUGAGGAGUUGAGAGAGGGAGUUAAUUUUGGGGAUUGGCCAGUUGGAGAAGGCAAAAGGAAGCGAGAAGAUUAGAACUUACUCUGUCUUCCUGGACAUCUCUGAGUUCCUAGAUGUCACCAUCACAACGGCCUGUUGGCCCUGGAAGCCCAGCCCAGCUUCUGCGGGGAGGGAGAUGGCGCUGGGCCCUUCAUGUCGUCGCCUCUCUCCCUCCUCCCCUUCAUUAAUGCAGUAUUUAUAUGCAGGCUCUCCUGUUUCCAUCAGGCUCUAACAUUUUAUCGACAUGAGUUUCAGCAUUAUCUCAAAACAUCGCUGUCAGAGAUGUAUUUCUUCCAUCAACAUGAAGCCCAGGGUCUACUUUAUAGAAAUACAUUCCAGAUUACCUUCCCUAGACUCAUUCUCUGUCACGUGAGCUUGACUUGCUUAUAAGCACAUUUCUGCCCUUGCUGAUUUUCAAAACAUCAUUGGACUGUUGCUAUAUAGUCUGCCUCAUAGCAAGUACUACAGCAACUCAUUUAGUCAAUACGUGCAUGUAUUGAAUACCUACUGUGUGCCAGGUACAAGAAUCUCGGGCCUCAUGGAACAAACAUUCUAUGAACGGCCAAUUAAAUAAUGAAAGACAUGAGACUUUAACUUGAAUAUCACUAUCGUGGCAAAUAUUAGUAAGAAAUUGGAGUAAAUAAACUCUAGCUUUAAUGAAAGUACAGUGUAUACAGUUCAACACAGAGCAAUGACUAAUGCAUCAUGGCAGAGGACAAUCCUUGAAAAUAUCAUCCUUGGGCCUACAAACACGUCAUUGUGUAGACUAAUCUCAGGUCUAUGAGGGUGAGCAAGUUUACAGUUCUUUGAAAUUUGAUCUCAGUUUCAGUUGCAAAGGCCUAAAUUGGGUUAGAGCAGCUUGCCUUUCGUAGUCCUCAACCUUCCUUGAUCCUCAGGGAUCAAUGACUAAUUCAGUUUUUUAAAAGUAGGGUGGCAGGCAUCCCAAGAACUCAGCCUCUGGGGGUUACAUCUGGUUUGGCAACUUCCUGUGGUGUGCAAUGCCCAGCCCCAUGUAUCUGUAGCCGUUAUGUGAGUAAUAAUGCAGAGUAUAUGCUCUGGAUCUUUUAAGGUACAUCAAGGGGCUGUAUUUCAGCAGCCGAUAGGACUCCAAGAGUUUUACCUUUUACUACUCCAGCCUUUCAGAUUUUCCCGGAAUCGUCACCUCUUAGAGUCUGUGCCUUCUCUGUGUGUUCCCAGAAUUCUCUAUUUAGGCUACUGUCAUGUUGGU